AGUUGGCUCAGUGGUAGAGUGCUUGCCUUGCAUGCAUGAGGCCCAGGUUCGAUUCCUCAGUACUG
rnacentral:tRNA from 1 species